rnacentral:lncRNA from 10 species
UGGGGUGGUGGUGCAUGCCUGUAAUCCCAGCUACUCAGGAGGCUGAGGCACACGCCACCACGCCUGGCUAAUUUUUUGUAUUUUUAGUAGAGACAGGGUUUCUCCAUGUUGGUCAGGCUGGUCUCGAACUCCCAACCUCAGGUGAUCCACUCACCUUGGCCUCCCAAAGUGCUAGGAUUACAGGCAUAAGCCACCGUGCCAACCUAAUCUGAUGAUUUUUUUACAGCU